UAUAACACUGUUCAGCACUUUAAGAGUGUUUAGAUCUUGGCAGUUUCAAAGAGUUUUUCCCAGUCAUGCUAAUGUCAAAAAAAUUAGAGAGAAGUGAGGGUCCAGUCUGUGUGUGUAUUCUCUUGGAUCCUAAUGCAAAAGGUGGAAGUAUGAAAUUAGGAAUGUAAUAAUAACAAAGUAGGAAGAAAAACAAAGUACUGAAAAGUGGUUAAAAACUGCAUCCCUUUUUUCUUCUCAGAUAAAUGUAAAAUGCAUCUACUGGGGUUUGACACUAUUCUGUACUUACUUGCUGAGGGGCCAUGGGCAUAUUAUUUCACUUUUCUCUGAAACCUAGUUUUUUCAUUUAUAAUAUUGGGUUUUUAAAAAAAUCUACUUUACAAAGUUAUUAUAACUAUUAAAGAAACGUAUAUAAGGAUUCUGAUACUUAGAAUAGGUUUUACUGUAUAUUAGAUGUUCAAGAAAUGAUGGCAACUACUGCCGUAAUUCUUCUACU
rnacentral:lncRNA from 1 species